AUUGAACGCUGGCGGCAGGCCUAACACAUGCAAGUCGAGCGGAGCGGCGGACGGGUGAGUAAUGCCUAGGAAGCUGCCUGGUAGUGGGGGAUAACGUCCGGAAACGGGCGCUAAUACCGCAUACUAUAAGAUGAGCAUCGGUCGGAUUAGCUAGUUGGUGGGGUAAGGGCCUACCAAGGCGACGAACCGUAACUGGGCUGAGAGGAUGAUCAGUCACACUGGAACGGAGACACGGUCCAGACGCCUACGCGAGGACGCAGUGGGGAAUUUUGGACAAUGGGCGAAAGCCUGAUCCAGCCAUGCCGCGUGUGUGAAGAAGGUCUUCGGAUUGUAAAGCACUUUAAGUUGGGAGGCGUUACCAACAGAAUAAGCACCGGCUAACUUCGUGCCAGCCGCCGCGGUAAUAC
rnacentral:rRNA from 1 species